GACGAACGCUGGCGGCGUGCUUAACACAUGCAAGUCGAACGAAGUGGCGAACGGGUGAGUAACGCGUAAUCAACCUGCCCUUCAGUGGGGGACAACAGUUGGAAACGACUGCUAAUCCCGCAUACUGAAGGAGGUGAUUGCGUCUGAUUAGCUAGUUGGAGGGGUAACGGCCCACCACGGCGAUGAUCAGUAGCCGGUCUGGGAGGAUGAACGGCCAAAGUGGGACUGAGACACGGCCCAGACUCCUACGGGAGGCAGCAGUGGGGAAGCUUCCGCAAUGGAGGAAAGUCUGACGGAGCAACGCCGCGGGAGUGAUGACGGCCUUCGGGGUGUAAAGCUCUGUUAAUCGGGACGCGGUACCGGAAUAGAAAGCCACGGCUAACUACGUGCCAGCAGCCGCGGUAAUUC
rnacentral:rRNA from 1 species